AUAUUUAAGUAGUAUUAGUUAUAUGCUUGAAAUUUAAAAAAUUUGGCGGUAUUUUAAUCUUAUUAGAGGAACUUGUUCUGUAAUCGAUAUUCCACGUUAAAUUUUACUAAAUUAUUUGUAUAUCGUUGUCUAAAGAAUAAAUUUUCAAAAAUUUUAAUUUAAAUUUAUGUCAAAUCAAGGUGCAGUUUAUAAUUUAGAAGAAAUGGGUUACAAUAAAAUUAUUUAGGAUUUUAUUAAAGGUGGAUUUAAUAGUAAAUUAGUUUUAAUAAAAUUAAUUGAUUUAAGUUCUAAAAUAUGU
rnacentral:rRNA from 1 species